CUUAUUAGGUCAAGCUGAACUAGCAGAAAUUCCAGAAGGCUAUGUCCCAGAACACUGGGAAUAUUAUAAGCAUCCCAUAUCAAGAUGGAUUGCCCGUAAUUUCUAUGAUAGUCCUGAAAAGAUAUAUGAAAGAACAAUGGCCGUCCUUCAGAUUGAAGCUGAAAAGGCUGAAUUACGGGUAAAGGAGCUGGAAGUGCGAAAAUUGAUGCAUGUGAGAGGAGAUGGACCCUGGUAUUACUAUGAGACAAUUGACAAGGAACUUAUUGAUCAUUCUCCGAAAGCAACUCCUGACAAUUAAGCAUUUUUUUCUCCAAAUACAAAGUAUAUUCUCUUUAUUGGAAAAUAAAUUAAUAAAUAUAUUCUGUAUUUUUGCUCUCCGUGAAAAACAAAAGAGCCUCUGACAUUACUGUCUCUCAGUGUUGGUUCAGAUUGAGGCUUUUGUUUGAGGAGUUUGGCUUCCAGUCCCCAAAGAAGGUUUAAAAUGUACUAAUAAAAACUGGAGAAAUAGGAAUUUGUGAACUCCUAAAAUUGUAGCAACUUUGAAAGGUUAGUGUUUUAUUUACCUGACAAAUGGAAGUUAUAGAAGUCUAAUAAUGUUAAGCACCAGUAAUUAUAGUAUUUUGUACAAAUGCCUG
rnacentral:lncRNA from 1 species